rnacentral:rRNA from 1 species
AUGGCAGGCAACGGAUCCGAGUCUUACACCUCCCAUGUUGACUGCCGGGAGCUCGUCCCACGCGACACCGAGGAGAUGGCCGUCCGUGUUGGGCUCCGCCGCUCACGAGAGGAGUACGCCGGACAGCGCGCGGACUCCAUCCAGUUGGAAUCCAUUGCGUUCGCCGAAGUGGCGCAUGGAUCCGGCGCGAGGCGCGUCGCCGUUGCCUCGCCGGAGGCGGUGCAGUCCAUCUGGCGUCCGAACACCGUGCCAAAGGCAACACCUAUUGAUGUUGUACUGAAGGAUGCUAGUUUGGAAAGAAAAAUCAUGGAAGUGCCUAAGAAGUCGGGCGACGUCACUGAGAACAACAAUGAUCAGAUGAACGAUUUACUGCGACCAAUUAUGAAAAUACGGAAUAAUAUUCUUCAUGAGGAACACGUACUUCAAGAUCGAAGUGCUGAAUAAGGGAAAAUGACAGCUAAAGUGUUGGCAAUAAUGAAAAAGUAUAAGGAAACCGGCUCAAAUAUGAUGGAAGUUGCCAAUCCAUCUUGUUGUGGAGAUGGUGAUAAAACAAGGAGAAAUAAGAGGACGACACUGAAGGAGGCACUCCUCCACAACAAGUGCCAGGAGCUCAACGAGAUCUGUUAUGACAUGAAGUGUAUACCCCCAAGAUACACAGUAUUACCUUCACCAGAAGAUGGAAUGUUCCAUGCCAAUGUACAUUUUACAUGCCCUGGUUAUGACAUGAGCAUCACUGGUGGUGCUCAUCAGACCCCAGAUGGGGCGAGCGCUAGUGGUGCCAGAACGGCGAUGAGGUUGAUGGCGCUCCACGCCGGCGUGGCGGAUCAUGCUGGAUCCAUCGAUUCGGUCGCCGCUAGGCGUUUGGGGGUGGAGAUCCGGCAUGGAUGCGCUCACGACGACGACCUACACGUGGCGGCGCUCGGUGAUGACAACCUACAGGCGGCGGUGCUCGGUGACGACGACCUACAGGCGGCGGCGCCUACAAGCUGCGACGCUCAGUGA